CUACAUACAACAAAAAUGUAUGUAAGUUUUGAACUUCUAAAUGACCAAUUAUCGGUGUACUCCAUGUAUUACAAAGAACAUGGAUAUCUCAUAAGAUUGUUUACGGUAACAGUAGAUGGAAGGGAUGAAUGAAUGCCUGAGGGGGAAGUUUAUCUGCAGCCACUUGAGAGUAUGAAAACAGCUUAGCAACAUAAAAGUUGUCCAAAAAAGUGGAAAGUUUGAAGAUGCAUGUAAACAAAUUAGAAUAAAGCAUUACAUUAAUAUGAAACUAAAAACUAAAAGUGUCAAAGUGGCAUUGAGCCAAAUCUGCCUGAAGAUUUUCUUCAUGGAAGCAGAAAAAUGAAAAGAGGAAUUCUCAGAAAUAGAUCCAAUUAUAAAAACAGGCACAUAUUGUGUUCAGAACGGUAUGUGCAGACUGAAGUUUCAUCGGCCGACCUUCAGAUUAAAAAGAACAUUUUUCAAUAUACAAUAAUUUUUCUAAUUACUUCAAAAGUACCAGCUGAUAGAAGUAAAAUUUGGACAGCUGGUUCAGUGAACUUUGGAUGUUUUACUGAAAUGGGUUGAUUUAAAAAGCUUCAGGCAGAGCUGCGGACGGUGCAGGACUCCAUGCGGUUCCAACACCUUGUGACCAGGUUUUAUUUAAGUAAUUGCUCCAACUCAAUUGGUAAAUCCUUCAGCUAAUAGAUCAGGUCAGUUGGUAUGCCUGCUAAUGUGCAGGUCUUUAAGUAUUCUGUCCAAUAACUGGCCCUGUGCAGCACCUAAUCACAAAAGUAUUUAGAGUUCAGCCUGUUAAAUUCCACAUUUAACUCUGACGUUGGUAUUUAGCAUGCAGCCAAAUAAAUGGCUAAUUUAGCAGUCUGACUAAUGACUGAUGUGUUUAGCAUGCGGGCUAAUGAGCGAGCUGGAGGCUGAUUAGUAUUGCUCCACAGAGACACACCAGUGUUCUGUUUACUCAUCUCAUUCUCAGCUGCCUGAUGGAUACACACACAGAAACAGUUACUGGGAUUUUGGAAGUGUGUUUAUACAUGUGUGUGUGGUUAUCUGAGUGUUUGUUGAGGAUAGCAGUGAAAAAUAAGACUUUGUGCUGUUGUGGUUCAUUGAUUCUAGUGAGGCUGCUCCAUGGACGCUGAAACCGCACUCAUUAUAAUUUACUUAGUCCAUUUAGUAGAGGUAGUUUUGUGUUUGACUUUCAAAAAGAACUGCAACAAACAGGUUGUUAAACUAUUUAUAAAUUAAAAAAAUAAAUCUCUAGCAGGUGUUUUUUCCUCUAUCUGUUAAUUUACUAUUUACAGUGGGUUCAAAAGUAUUCACACCCCAAAGCAUUUCUAUAUAUUUUUUUUACAAAUGAAAAUGAAAAGUGCAGUAUGUAGAAGUAUCCAGCCCCCUGAGUCAAUCCUCUGUGGAACCAGGUUCUGCUGCUGUUGCAGCUGCUAGUCUUUAGGGUUUGUCUCCACCAGCUUUGAUCUGAAAUUUUUGCCCAUUCAUCUUUGCCAAACAGCUCAAGCUCAGUCAGACUGGAGGCAUUGUGAGAGCGUUUGUGAACAGCAACUUUCAGAUCUUGCCACAGAUUCUGGAUUGGGUUUAGCUAUGGACUUUGACUAGGCCAUUCUAAAACAUGAACAUGUUAUGGUAAAGGUGGUUGUUCUGCUGGAAGCUGAAUCUCUGCACCAGCUUGCAGUCUUUACACUCCUACAGGUUUUCUUCCAACAUUGCUCUGUAUUUGGCUCUAUAGGGAUGUGCGCUGAUUUGCCCAUGUGGUGAUGAAUAGGCAAAUCAGCCUAAGCCUCUUCUAAUCUUCUGUCUGCUGUGUUCCUUGGACUUCAUGAUGUUUUUGCUCUCCAAUAUUCUCUGAACCUCUGAAGCAUGACAGAGCAGCUGGAUUUGUUCUGACAUCAUGUUUCACACAGGUGGACUCUAUUCAGUCAUUAGCAGCCAUCAGGCAACUUCUGAGAGAAAUUGGCUGCACUCACACCAAUUUUAUUUUACAAAUAAAAAAACAACAUUUUUUAUUGGUAAAAAAUAUUUUGAAUGGUGGAUAAUUUUCUACAAUUGUGGACCUUUGUCUUGGUCUUUCAUAUUCAAUUCCAAUGAAAUAUACUUAUGUUUGUGGUUGUAAUAUGACCAAACAUGGUUGUAAAUAGAUAUGGAAAGGUUCAAGGGAUAUGAAUGCUUUUGUAAGUGACUGUAUUUGUUGUGCUUUUUGCAACUUGACAGCAGCUGGAUCACAUGUUCAGUGCAGAACAUGACAGCUUCUUUGGUGACCUUUUGGUUGUUGGGGUUUUACAGUGCAUUUAAGAGCCACACUCUGAUUACUUAAUCAUGGUUUUAUUAAUGUCAGUAAACACACAAAACCUGAUUCAGGAAGAAUAAACUGGGCUUGCCUUCAGCAUCACUGCUCAUCAUUUGCUCCCACAACCUGCUCCAUGUUUUAAGCAUGGUGAAAUAAAAUAAAAUAAGUAAAUGCUGACAGAAAUGCUAAUGGUAUUUUUAUUUGUCUUAUUUCUGCUCUUCUCCAUGAUGUGGUCUUGGUAUACUGAGGUCAGAUUGAAUCUGCUGAUGCAGAUAUGCUCACACAUUACAGAAACCAUUCAAUUAUGACCAUAGUUGGAUAUGUGAAACAAUACAGUAGAUCUCUAGUAUUUAGUAAGGGACUACAGCCAUCCACGAAUAGAUGAAAUCUGCAAAUACUUCCGACAUCUCUACAAACAAUUGCAACUGCUUAUCUUAAUUGUUCAAACGCUAAAUAUACUACAAUAAUCAUUAAUGUACAUGGUGGAAACCCCUUUGCUCUAUGGUAGAAGCUAACAUUUAUAGUCUUCAUUGUCUUGUCAUUGUCUACUUGUGAUGAUACAGCCAAUCAGCACCAAGGAAAAUGAAUGGUACUCCUGGAUUGGGUGGUUUGCAAACACCAGCGAAUAGCAUGUCAAGUGGCAUUGCUUCCAGGUUUCUGCUUCCCAAGCAGCAUUUUCUUGCAAAUAUUUUUCUACCAAAGUUACGUUCAGGAGAAAAAAAUCUGUUAAGUGGAUUUAUGAAUACUGAGACACUAAUAGACUGGGUUCCACUGGAGUUGCAUUAAAAAACCCCCAAAAACUGAAAAUUAGGCUCAACAAACAAAUUCCACAAAAACUGUUUAAAUAGUUUAAUAAAACUGAAGUUUAAACAAACUCAGACGUUUAACUUCUGAUCUCAGAGUUGUCCCUCUGAAGUCAGAAGAGAGCUUUGUCUCCGUCUAACAGCCUCACAACAAUACUGAUCAUCUGCAGCCUCACAGUGGAACACUACUAAAUUAAUGUUUGCUUGUUCAUUUUGGUUACUGCUGACAUCAUGUCCCUCAGGAAAAAAACUGACGUUUGUGGGUUCUUAGAAGUGCCAGCUGGUAAAUUUCAGUCGACCUUGCAAAGAAUGCAGACGCUCUGAAAAUACAUCUAGAGAGAACAUCAUUUCAGCAGCAAAAAUCAACCCAAGAAUAACUAAAUGUUCAACACAGAACUUCAAAAAUGUGAGUGUGAAAAAAAGGUUUAUACUCUUAUUUCCAGACCAGAAGGUUUUAUUUGGUUUUAUGCAGCCUGCUGCCCAAUGAAACACCAGUUGCAAAGACAUUUCAUGACUUCAUGAGCUGUUAAAACAACAUUUUCUGCUUUGACAAAAGAACUUUUAAUACUGCAGGGCUUAAAGUUCUGAAUUAGAAGUCUUCUCUUGAUAGUUUAUUUUUCCUCUUGCAGAUCUUAUGUUUGAAAAUUAAACAUUGAAUCUAUGAGCACAAAAUGUUUAACCACCACCUAACUGAUUUAGUAAAACAAUUAUAAGCUUUAGACAGAUCUUGACCACAUUACUGAUAAUUAUUUGACAUAUUUAUGAGGCAUCAGGAAGUAACUUUAAAAAUGUCUUUAAAAAAUCUUUUUUUUUCAAUGGUUAUAAAAAUCUAAAUGUCAUAUAUCUUUAAAUGUCAAGCAUGAAGUGGUUCAUACAUGUGCCUGCUACCAGACCUGCUGGGGUCAAAGGUCUCUGAUCAGUUUUACGUAUUAGCGGAUGGCUUUGUACCAUCAAAGUAAGAACUGUGUCUGAAUCUUGGAUAACGUUGGGAUUCCCAGUGAAGUGGCUGACACAGCUCUCCACCACCAGAUGGUGGACUGCUGUGUCACGAGGAACACAAGUGGGAGAGGAUUUCCAUUCAACUUGAUGCUGCCGUGCCGGAGCAUGUAUCCGAAGUGGCAGGGAACUUUGUGGCAAUGUGUAUCAGUGGUAUAUCCUAAGUGUUUGAGUACUGGUGGUCCAUUACCAGUACUCAAUGGAUCACCAGUCCAUUGAGUACUGGAGCAGCCCCUGGAGAACCAGGGGCUGCACCCUAGGCCACUCCUGGAAGGUUGAUACAACCUUCCAUAGUUUAAUAGUUCCCAUUAAACUAUUUGACAGUGACAAUAGUUUAAUGGUCACUGUCCCACAUGGGAAUCGAACCAUGUGUUUCCAUGUAUGGUUACAUCAUACAUAUACACGGGCUGAAAUCUUCGACUGUAUAAACAGUGGAAAGGGUCUGCCGGGUGGGAGGCAAGUGCUUUAACCAGUGCUACGGAGGUCACGUGACUUCUUGGGCCACAUCAUUAUCAUGUAUAUAAGCAGACAGGCGUCCUGACAGCUGGAAACUUCUUUACUGCUUCAUCAUUGUGAGAGACACGACCGGCAGCACACACGGGCUUUGGUAGGAGUGAACGGUAAGUUGUUUUUAAUGACUGAAAAUUGUUAAAAUGUGUUUAUUCUAAGAAAAAUAAGUAACUGCAUUUUUUUUUUGGCACAGCGGUCACAUGUCCUCACAGCUGCAGCUUGUCAACUGCACCGGCCAUACAGAAGCAGGAGCUCUGCCACUGCAGGUCACAUGACAUGAUGACUCAUCUGUUUGAUGGGGCAGGUGCAAGUUGUUAGCUGCUGCACUCAUUGUGAGGGAGACGGCAGAGCAGUGAGCAACAAGUGGAGAAACCGGAGCAUUUUGCACGUGCUUUUCUUGAGGGAGAGACAACGUUUGCCUACAGAAAUGAAGCCCCCAAAGUCUCCUCCACACUGCCCAAUAUGUGAAUAUCAAUUCAUUUAUCUGGGGAAACACCUGAUCAGCAAACAUUCAAUCUCAAACAAGUUGGAGAAAAGAAUAUUAAUUAACUAUGCCACAGGGCGAGUAAAUUUUCAUCACCUCUCCUGUCCAGUAGAGGGAUGCGACUUCAGCAAAACUCGAAUUGACAGACAUCUGGAGAUCGGCCACCCGGAGCUGGGUGAAGAAAAGGUGAAGGGCAUUGCUGAUGACCUGAAAAGAAAGGUCACCAUAACCAGCCUGAGGACCCUCAGGCUGGCUAUGGUGCCUGCCCAUGCUUUCUAGCUUGGACAUUGGCCAUGAUGAAAAUGAGAUGCUCCGGGAUGUGUCAGAUUCCUAGGCUCCCUCCAGCUCCUCCUGCUCCAAAUGCACCAAAAUGGCAGCGGAUACUAAGGAGCUGUGGAGGAAGCUGCGGAACAGACAGAGGUGGAUCAAGAAGGCCAAGGCCAAAAUCAAGUCCUUGGAGGAGACAAUAGAACUCAAGGACACGGACAACUCCCAUAGCCCUCUUCCAAGUGGGCAAGGUGACUCCACCACCACCCAGGACUUGCAGGAAUCAGAGGACGCACAACCCACCACCCAGGACGCACCGCUAAAACGAGGAUUGAAAAAGGGUCUUAAUAUUCUUCCUAAUUGCAGCCCCAUGUUAAAAUACAUGCUGCUCAAAAAAAUGCAGAAGUACAUGCCACAAAAGCGGCUCUUGCAUGCAAGGAGGGUUGCAAAGAAGUAGUUUAGAUCUUUUUUUUUUUUUUUUUGCAUUUUGAGUUUGAUUUUGUUUGCUGUGCGUGUUGUUUAUAUUGUACUUUUAUUUUGUAAAUUUUGUAAUAUAGUUUAAGUUCCUGGAAAUAUAUUGUUGUUUUUGUGUAAUUAAAUGUAAAUAUUCUUGUUUAAGCAAUGUCUCCCUUUUAUUAUAU